rnacentral:misc_RNA from 1 species
UGUAUGGAAGCCAUAAUGCAGCAUGUAUCAGCAGCAAAACUAAACAAAAUGCCCAUCCUAUAUCUAUGAUUCAUGAUUUCUAUUAAAAAGAAAAAAGAACAAAACAUAGGUUCACUUUCAAAUUUAGAAAAAAAUGUAGUUUAAAAAACCAUUUGAUUAUCCAAUUUGAUAGGUUAGAUAUAAUGGAAACUACGGAAACUAUUGACAAAUUGAUAAAUAAGAAUAAUACUAGGCAAACUACCUAAAAGCAUAUUUGGCUUUGGGG